rnacentral:rRNA from 1 species
CAAUAGCGUAUAUUUAAGUUGUUGCAGUUAAAAAGCUCGUAGUCGGAUUUUGGCUGAGAACGAACGGUCCGCCGUUAGGUGUGCACUGUUUGGUCUCAGCUUCCUGGUGAGGAGGUGUGCUUCACGGCCACUUAGUCACCGUGGUUACUUUGAAAAAAUUAGAGUGUUCAAAGCGGGCUUACGCUUGAAUAUAUUAGCAUGGAAUAACACCAUAGGACUCCUGUCCUAUUUCGUUGGUCUCGGGACGGGAGUAAUGAUUAAGAGGAACAGUUGGGGGCAUUCGUAUUUCAUUGUCAGAGGUGAAAUUCUUGGAUUUAUGAAAGACGAACUUCUGCGAAAGCAUUUUCCAAGGAUGUUUUCAUUGA